rnacentral:rRNA from 1 species
CAGCCGCCGCGGUAACACGUAGGGUGCAAGCGUUAAUCGGAAUUACUGGGCGUAAAGCGUGCGCAGGCGGUUAUAUAAGACAGAUGUGAAAUCCCCGGGCUCAACCUGGGAACUGCAUUUGUGACUGUAUAGCUAGAGUACGGCAGAGGGGGAUGGAAUUCCGCGUGUAGCAGUGAAAUGCGUAGAUAUGCGGAGGAACACCGAUGGCGAAGGCAAUCCCCUGGGCCUGUACUGACGCUCAUGCACGAAAGCGUGGGGAGCAAACAGGAUUAGAUACCCCUGUAGUCCCUGUCUCUUAUAU